rnacentral:rRNA from 1 species
UACGAAGGGGGCUAGCGUUGCUCGGAAUCACUGGGCGUAAAGGGUGCGUAGGCGGGUCUUUAAGUCAGGGGUGAAAUCCUGGAGCUCAACUCCAGAACUGCCUUUGAUACUGAGGAUCUUGAAUUCGGGAGAGGUGAGUGGAACUGCGAGUGUAGAGGUGAAAUUCGUAGAUAUUCGCAAGAACACCAGUGGCGAAGGCGGCUCACUGGCCCGAUACUGACGCUGAGGCACGAAAGCGUGGGGAGCAAACAGG